UACAGAGGGUGCGAGCGUUGUUCGGAAUUACUGGGCGUAAAGCGCGCGUAGGCGGCUCUUUAAGUCUUUCCGUGAAAUGCCGGGGCUCAACCCCGUGCACGUCGGGGGAUACUGGAGGGCUGGAGACAGGUAGAGGCGAGUGGAAUUCCGGGUGUAGCGGUGGAAUGCGUAGAGAUCCGGAAGAACACCAGAGGCGAAGGCGGCUCGCUGGGCCUGGUCUGACGCUGAGGCGCGAAAGCGUGGGGAGCGAACAGG
rnacentral:misc_RNA from 1 species